AGCACUUGUAUGUUCAUGACUGAUAAUGCAUAUAUAAUCUCAAUCAUAGCUUUCAAUUUAAGAUUCUUGAGAAUUCAAAAUAAGCUUCAGAUCAUUCACAAAGAUCUGGUUUGGUGAUCUUCAGACAAACAAAAUGAGAUUGUUUUUGAUUUGUCAUCUUCUGAUCUUGUGUACAUUGUUCUUCCCGGUUGAAAGUUGGUGGCUUUUGAAUAGCGGAAACGACAGAGGGUGUCCAAGAAGAGGCAAUGCCAGGGCGUAUUACUUUGGUACAACAGACCUGAAUUGCAUG